ACAUAGUACCAUGAGGUCUUAACACAUUACUAACUAAUAAUAAAUUAAUUAAUCAGCCAGCAGGAAGUGAUGUAAUAUCAAGGGAGCUAUAAAGGGAUGCCCCUAUAUUGCCUCUCAUUCUGUAGUUGGUAUUCAAUGAGGUUGCACUUGUUCCUGUAAAAAGGAAUAGUUUCGUUCAGGAUUUGAAAUUUUCCUAAGUUCUCUGUUUGGUGACAUGUAUAAACAGAGGUAGACUAUAAGGUUCCACCAUUCUUGAUUGAAAAUAGGGAACGUAACAUCAUCUAAUUUCAACCAAAUUUAUAUAUAUUUUUUUGAAGUCUAUCUAGAUAUUAUAUUUAUCGAAUUGAAUAUGUGAUUGGAUGUAAUCAUUGGAUAUUCUAAACCUUUCUAAUCAAUGGUAAUCACUCCUACUAUAAGAACUGAUUCCAAACCCCUGAUGAAGUCCUAACGGACGAAACGCGUUGGGUUUUGCAACGUCUGGUUAACAAAGUCCUUAUCACAAACAUCUGGUUGGAGAUACAUCCAUUUCGAGUUCUGACUGUGAUCACCUGGCUGUAAAAUCCUCACAUCCAACUGUAAUUUAUGUAUAAGAUUGUAAUAUUGUUUUAUAUGAAUUUUUAGAAGGUUGUGUCAAUAACG